GACGAACCGUCCAAACGUUAUUCGGAAUUACUGGGCGUAAAGGGCGCGUAGGCGGCCUCUGCAAGUCGACUGUGAAAUCUCCGGGCUUAACCCGGAAAGGUCAGCCGAUACUGCAGGGCUAGAGUGCAGAAGGGGCAACUGGAAUUCUCGGUGUAGCGGUGAAAUGCGUAGAUAUCGAGAGGAACACCUGCGGCGAAGGCGGGUUGCUGGGCUGACACUGACGCUGAGGCGCGAAAGCUAGGGGAGCGAACGGG
rnacentral:rRNA from 1 species